rnacentral:rRNA from 1 species
UACGUAGGGUGCGAGCGUUAAUCGGAAUUACUGGGCGUAAAGCGUGCGCAGGCGGUUUUGUAAGCCAGAUGUGAAAUCCACGGGCUUAACCUGGGAAUGGCAUUUGGGACUGCAAGGCUUGAGUGCGGCAGAGGAGACUGGAAUUCCUGGUGUAGCAGUGAAAUGCGUAGAUAUCAGGAGGAACACCGAUGGCGAAGGCAGGUCUCUGGGCUGACACUGACGCUCAUGCACGAAAGCGUGGGGAGCAAACAGG